CACGUAGGGUGCGAGCGUUGUUCGGAAUUACUGGGCGUAAAGCGUAUGCAGGCGGAUCGUUAAGUCGGGGGUGAAAUCCCGAGGCUCAACCUCGGAACUGCCUUCGAUACUGGCGACCUUCGAGUCCGGGAGAGGUGAGUGGAACUCCGAGUGUAGAGGUGAAAUUCGUAGAUAUUCGGAAGAACACCAGUGGCGAAGGCGGCUCACUGGCCCGGUACUGACGCUGAGAUACGAAAGCGUGGGGAGCAAACAGG
rnacentral:rRNA from 1 species